rfam:Amazona aestiva scaffold_271, whole genome shotgun sequence.
GCACUGGCUGUUCUCAUAGCCAUAAAACAGUCACUGAAACACAAAAU